rnacentral:rRNA from 1 species
UACGAAGGGGGCUAGCGUUGCUCGGAAUUACUGGGCGUAAAGAGCGUGUAGGCGGCCACGCAGGUCCGUUGUGAAAACUGGAGGCUCAACCUUCAGACGUCGACGGAAACCGUGUGGCUAGAGUCCGGAAGAGGAGAGUGGAAUUCCUGGUGUAGCGGUGAAAUGCGCAGAUAUCAGGAAGAACACCAAUGGCGAAGGCAGCUCUCUGGGACGGUACUGACGCUGAGACGCGAAAGCGUGGGGAGCGAACAGG